rnacentral:sRNA from 1 species
GUGGCCUGGGAGGGGUUGGCAAACCAGGGGCAGAAUCUCAUGCCUGGGGUCUGGUCCCCAGAGACUUUGUCCGACGACUGGCCCAGGCGCUGGCGGGACACUCAAGCUCUGGGCUGCGGGAGCUCAGCUUGGCAGGGAACCUGCUGGAUGACCGAGGUAUGGCUGAGCCUGGGGACCGCAGGGAUGGGCAGCAGGAGGAGGUGAGACCCACGUGGCUGUUCCCACCCCCCAAGGCAUGGCUGCACUCAGCAGACACCUCGAGCGUUGUCCAGGAGCCCUGAGGAGACUCAGCCUCGCCCAGACAGGGUUGACACCGCGAGGUAGGCUGGAUGAGGGAGGGGGUGAGGGGAGGGGGGUGGGGGUCUGUCCAACUGCUGAGUGACCCCGCCCCACCACCAGGAAUGAGGGCUCUGGGCCGGGCACUGGCCACCAAUACCGCCUUCGACUCUGCCCUGACCCACCUGGACCUUUCUGGGAAUCCUGGGGCGCUGGGGGCCUCAGAGGACAGUGGGGGCCUCUAUAGCUUCCUGAGCCGUCCUAACGUGCUGUCGUUCCUGAAUCUCGCAGGCACCGACACCGCCCUGGACACUCUCUUCGCAGCGCUAUCCCGAGGCUGCUGCACCAGCCUUACCCACCUCGACGCUUCGAGGAACGUCUUCUCCCGCACGAAGUCCCGUGCCGCGCCGGCCGCGCUGCAGCUUUUCCUCAGCCGCGCGCGGACGCUGCGGCACCUGGGCCUGGCGGGCU